GCCGACUCUCCCCUCUGCCCGCGCACCAACCCAGUAGGCCUUGAAGAGAAUGGACGUGAAUGCUGGUAAGCAGAGUGUUCCUGGCCAGGUUCAGUCGGUUUCGCGCUGCUAAGUUUGCAGUUUGCUCGCAAUUCAGUUCCCCUGGAGUCAGAAUUAUCAGCUAUUUCGCUUUAAUAUAGCUCAAUUUGCCUGGAGCUAGUGGAAAGUGUGUC